UACGAAGGGGGCUAGCGUUGCUCGGAAUUACUGGGCGUAAAGGGAGCGUAGGCGGACAUUUAAGUCAGAGGUGAAAUCCCGGAGCUUAACUUCGGAACUGCCUUUGAUACUGGGUGUCUUGAGUGUGAGAGAGGUAUGUGGAACUCCGAGUGUAGAGGUGAAAUUCGUAGAUAUUCGGAAGAACACCAGUGGCGAAGGCGACAUACUGGCUCAUUACUGACGCUGAGGCUCGAAAAGCGUGGGGAGCAAACAGG
rnacentral:rRNA from 1 species